AGGGGUAUAGCUCAGUUGGUAGAGCAUCGGUCUCCAAAACCGAGGGUCGGGGGUUCGAGUCCCUCUGCCCCUG
rfam:Rhodobacteraceae bacterium HLTCCA12 ITZX_scaf_22, whole genome shotgun sequence.